rnacentral:misc_RNA from 1 species
GGUGAGUAACGCGUGGGUAAUCUGCCCUGGAGUUGGGAAUAACACUUCGAAAGGAGUGCUAAUACCCAAUAAAAUCCUUGAGACUCCGGUUUUGGGGAUGAAAGGGGGUUGAGGCUUGCAAGCUCUCGCCCCAGGAUGAGCCCGCGUACCAUUAGCUAGUUGGUGGGGUAACGGCCCACCAAGGCAACGAUGGUUAGCUGGUCUGAGAGGAUGGCCAGCCACACUGGAACUGAGACACGGUCCAGACUCCUACGGGAGGCAGCAGUGGG